UACAGAGGGGGCUAGCGUUGUUCGGAAUUACUGGGCGUAAAGGGCGCGUAGGCGGCCUGUUAAGUCGAACGUGAAAUCCCCGGGCUCAACCCGGGAACUGCGUCCGAUACUGGCAGGCUUGAAUCCGGGAGAGGGAUGUGGAAUUCCAGGUGUAGCGGUGAAAUGCGUAGAUAUCUGGAGGAACACCGGUGGCGAAGGCGGCAUCCUGGACCGGUAUUGACGCUGAGGCGCGAAAGCUAGGGGAGCAAACGGG
rnacentral:rRNA from 1 species